rnacentral:rRNA from 1 species
UUGUCGUCAGCUCGUGUCGUGAGAUGUUGGGUUAAGUCCCGCAACGAGCGCAACCCUUGUCUUUAGUUGCCAUCAUUUAGUUGGGCACUCUAAAGAGACUGCCGGUGUCAAACCGGAGGAAGGUGGGGAUGACGUCAAGUCCUCAUGGCCUUUAUGACCAGGGCUACACACGUACUACAAUGGCCGGUACAAAGGGCAGCCACUUAGCGAUAAGGAGCCAAUCCCGUAAAGCCGGUCUCAGUCCGGAUUGGAGUCUGCAACUCGACUCCAUGAAGUUGGAAUCGCUAGUAGUCGCAGAUCAGCACGCUGCGGUGAAUACGUUCCCGGGCCUU